GGGGGAGAUGGGGAGAAAAGAAGCGCCCUGGAUGAAAUAAAAGUGAAAGCUAUAAUGGAUGCUGUUAUGUCAAGACACUCAGUUUCGACUGGCCAGAUCGGAGCAGCCCUGAAUGGGAAGAUGGCAGAACUAAGACUGGCAAUGUCCAGGAAAAAUAAUUUAAAAACAAAAUGCAUUAAAGUUUCUAUUUGAAAAGA